rnacentral:lncRNA from 1 species
GUGGAUCUGGUUUCAGCUUCUUACCUUUUCCCAAACAGGCUGACAGGGAAAAUCAUCCCAGUCAUUUGAAGUUGCUCCUUGGAUGUUGGAGACCCAGGCCAAAAGUCCUACUCUGCUUCAUUCAUAGGAAAUGGUUUUAAGCAUUCAUGUAGGCUCCUGAUGGGGCUGUUUUAGUUCAUGUAACCAAUUGGUAUAGCUCUUCUUGAUCCCAGAACAAAUCUGUCACUUGUUUUUGACUAAUUCUUCUACAGCUGUAUCCUUUUAACUUCUUUUUUCUUCUCAGAAGAGCUGAGAACAUGGCAGAUCACACCCUUUAGACUUAAUCUGACUUCGCAGAAAAUUCUUGGCAGGACAGGUGAUUGUUCCAACAUUUCUGGUUAGUGUCUACCUAGAAAUGAGAGCAGUGCUGAGUGUAUAUUCACAGGGGAAUACAGUUUAUGCGAUCUUGCUGUCUCGGCCCAUCCAUCCAUCAUGUGCUGACUACAGCCCAGCGUGGCAGAAAGUCCUUUCAGAUGUUUUUUACAAGAAGAAAGAGCAAGACACCAGAAGCUGGAUUUGACUAGCAAGGACCUCCAUAAGCUGCCUACGGCUCAGAGGAUCAAUCAGUUAAAAAUUCAGGGAACAUAAACACUAUUCUUCCAAACAAUCGAAAUUGCUCAUGUCUAACUUGCAAGACAGGCACAGUAUCAAGAGCACCAGUGUGAGCACAUGUAAAUUCUUAACAAGUAUCUUUAAAGGAGACAAUGUACACAGAAGUAUGUCAUUAUGAUGAGGGGACCCUUGACUAGAUGGGAAAGAAAGACUGCAUGUGUCAGAAGACCGUCACUUGCACACAGCUCCAAAUUGAAAAUGUUUUUCACCUGUAGCCACAUAAAGAACUCUAGACAAGCC